GUGUUGUAUGAAAGGAGAGAAGGUUAGCACUCCCCUUGACAAGGAUGGAAGAGGCCCUCGGGCCUGACAACACGCAUACGGUUAAGGCAUUGCCACCUACUUUGUGGCAUCUAACCACUGUUUUUU
rnacentral:snRNA from 9 species